GUAGGUGAACCUGCGGAAGGAUCAUUAGUGAAUUCAAUUUUCUAGAAUGGUGUAAAAGCCGGACUAGUGCAUCAGGCGUCCCUCGUGAUGCCUGGUGUGGAACCACUUUCCUUAACACCUGUGAACUGUCUGUCAGGCCCAUCGCUCUCGAGCGUGGACUUGCACAUUACAAACUUACUCUGUAAAAAAUGUCGAAAUACAAAAACUAAAUAAAACUUUUAACAACGGAUCUCUUGGCUCUCGCAUCGAU
rnacentral:misc_RNA from 1 species